rnacentral:rRNA from 2 species
GGGAGCUUGCUCCCUGAAGUCAGCGGCGGACGGGUGAGAAACACGUGGGCAACCUGCCUGUAAGACUGGGAUAACUCCGGGAAACCGGGGCUAAUACCGGAUAAUUCUUUCCCUCACAUGAGGGAAAGCUGAAAGAUGGUUUCGGCUAUCACUUACAGAUGGGCCCGCGGCGCAUUAGCUAGUUGGUGAGGUAACGGCUCACCAAGGCAACGAUGCGUAGCCGACCUGAGAGGGUGAUCGGCCACACUGGGACUGAGACACGGCCCAGACUCCUACGGGAGGCAGCAGUAGGGAAUCUUCCGCAAUGGACGAAAGUCUGACGGAGCAACGCCGCGUGAGUGAUGAAGGUUUUCGGAUCGUAAAACUCUGUUGUUAGGGAAGAACAAGUACCGGAGUAACUGCCGGUAUCUUUACGGUACCUAACCAGAAAGCCACGGCUAACUACGUGCCAGCAGCCGCGGUAAUACGUAGGUGGCAAGCGUUGUCCGGAAUUAUUGGGCGUAAAGCGCGCGCAGGCGGUUCCUUAAGUCUGAUGUGAAAGCCCCCGGCUCAACCGGGGAGGGUCAUUGGAAACUGGGGAACUUGAGUGCAGAAGAGAAGAGUGGAAUUCCACGUGUAGCGGUGAAAUGCGUAGAGAUGUGGAGGAACACCAGUGGCGAAAGCGACUCUUUGGUCUGUAACUGACGCUGAGGCGCGAAAGCGUGGGG